rnacentral:rRNA from 1 species
UACGUAGGGGGCGAGCGUUGUCCGGAUUCAUUGGGCGUAAAGCGCUUUAAGGCGGUUCGCUAAGUCGCGUGUGAAACCUCCAGGCUCAACCUGGAGACGCCACGCGAUACUGGCGUGACUAGAGUUCGGUAGGGGAUCACGGAAUUCCUGGUGUAGCGGUGAAAUGCGCAGAUAUCAGGAGGAACACCGGUGGCGAAGGCGGUGAUCUAGGCCGACACUGACGCUGUAGAGCGAAAGCGUGGGGAGCGAACAGG